UUAGAAGUUAUGGUUUCCAUUUUUCUAUACCCAUAUUUAUUUAAUUUACCUCUCUGCCAUCUUGAAUCACUUUUUAUUUUAACUCAUUUCCAUUAUCAUCUUAAGGCCAUUUUUUGUUUUGAUUGUUCCUUCAAGAAAAAUGUUUUGUGGAACCUAUUAAAUCCAUUGAUGCCGGCUUGGCAACUUAGUAUUCGAUCAUGUUGGUCUACCAUACCAAUUUUAGCAUGGUAUGUUGUUGCGGCC
rnacentral:lncRNA from 1 species